UCCUACGGGAGGCAGCAGUGGGGAAUAUUGGACAAUGGGCGCAAGCCUGAUCCAGCCAUACCGCGUGGGUGAAGAAGGCCUUCGGGUUGUAAAGCCCUUUUGUUGGGAAAGAAAUCCAGCUGGCUAAUACCCGGUUGGGAUGACGGUACCCAAAGAAUAAGCACCGGCUAACUUCGUGCCAGCAGCCGCGGUAAUACGAAGGGUGCAAGCGUUACUCGGAAUUACUGAGCGUAAAGCGUGCGUAGGUGGUCGUUUAAGUCCGUUGUGAAAGCCCUGGGCUCAACCUGGGAAACUGCAGUGGAUACUGGGCGACCUAGAGUGUGGUAGAGGGUAGCGGAAUUCCUGGUGUAGCAGUGAAAUGCGUAGAGAUCAGGAGGAACAUCCAUGGCGAAGGCAGCUACCUGGACCAACACUGACACUGAGGCACGAAAGCGUGGGGAGCAAACAGGAUUAGAUACCCUGGUAGUCCACGCCCUAAACGAUGCGAACUGGAUGUUGGGUGCAAUUUGGCACGCAGUAUCGAAGCUAACCGCGUUAANUUCNCCGCCUGGGGAGUAUCGGUCGCAAGAUCUG
rnacentral:rRNA from 1 species